UCCCUGGUGGCUCAGAUGGUAAAGCAUCUGCCUACAAUGCAGGAGACCCAGGUUAGAUCCCUGGGUUGGGAA
rnacentral:tRNA from 1 species